rnacentral:rRNA from 1 species
GGGCCCGCACAAGCGGUGGAGCAUGUGGUUUAAUUCGAAGCAACGCGAAGAACCUUACCAGGUCUUGACAUCCUCUGACAAUCCUAGAGAUAGGACGUUCCCCUUCGGGGACAGAGUGACAGGUGGUGCAUGGUUGUCGUCAGCUCGUGUCGUGAGAUGUUGGGUUAAGUCCCGCAACGAGCGCAACCCUUGAUCUUAGUUGCCAGCAUUCAGUUGGGCACUCUAAGGUGACUGCCGGUGACAAACCGGAGGAAGGUGGGGAUGACGUCAAAUCAUCAUGCCCCUUAUGACCUGGGCUACACACGUGCUACAAUGGAUGGUACAAAGAGUCGCAAACCCGCGAGGGCUAGCUAAUCUCAUAAAGCCAUUCUCAGUUCGGAUUGUAGGCUGCAACUCGCCUACAUGAAGCCGGAAUCGCUAGUAAUCGCGGAUC